rnacentral:rRNA from 1 species
AGCGAACGCUGGCGGCAGGCCUAAUACAUGCAAAUCGAACGGCUCUUCGGAGCAGUGGCGGACGGGUGAGUAACGCGUGGGAACGUGCCCUUUGGUACGGAACAACACAGGGAAACUUGUGCUAAUACCGUAUGUGCCCUUCGGGGGAAAGAUUUAUCGCCAUUGGAGCAGCCCGCGUUGGAUUAGGUAGUUGGUGAGGUAAAGGCUCACCAAGCCUACGAUCCAUAGCUGGUCUGAGAGGAUGACCAGCCAAACUGGGACUGAGACACGGCCCAGACUCCUACGGGAGGCAGCAGUAGGGAAUCUUGCGCAAUGGGCGAAAGCCUGACGCAGCCAUGCCGCGUGUAUGAUGAAGGUCUUAGGAUUGUAAAAUACUUUCACCGGGGAAGAUAAUGACGGUACCCGGAGAAGAAGCCCCGGCUAACUUCGUGCCAGCCGCCGCAGUAAAAC